GACGUAGGGGGCACGCGUUGUCCGGAUUCAUUGGGCGUAAAGAGCUCGUAGGCGGCUUGGCAAGUCGGAUGUGAAAUCUCCAGGCUCAACCUGGAGUCGCCAUCCGAUACUGCUAUGGCUAGAUUCCGGUAGAGGAUCGUGGAAUUCCUGGUGUAGUGGUGAAAUGCGCAGAUAUCAGGAGGAACACCGAUGGCGAAGGCAGCGAUCUGGGCCGGCACUGACGCUGAGGAGCGAAAGCGUGGGGAGCGAACAGG
rnacentral:rRNA from 1 species